GUAAGGAAAAAAUUCAAAACCUAAAGCAUCUAAUCAGUGCCUUAUUAUGUAACAGCAAGAUGAACAAUUCAGAAAUGCAAGAUAAAACAGUUUCACCUGUCUCAGAAUAUGAUUGAAAAACUUGACAGAUAUUUCCAAAAGAUAUACUUAAUUUGAGUAAUUUAAAUAAGCUUGCUUUUGUAUAUGUAAGGAACCACACAGAGAGGAUAUUAACUCUUCUCUUACAUCUAAGUAACAAUUUUUAAAAUGCAGUAUUUGAUCACAAUAAAAAAAUAACUAAAAACUACCCUGGGCCAAGAGCAGUGGCUCACACCUGUAAUCUCAGCACUCUGGGAGCAUGCCUGUAAUCUCAGCAUUUUUAGGGAGCCCAAAGUGGGAGAAUUACUUGAGGCCAGGAGUUUGAAACCAGCCUGGGAAACACAGUGAGACCCCCAUCUCUCCAAAAACUUUAAAAGUUAGCCAGGUAUGGUGGCAUGCAUCUGUAGUCCUAGUUACUUGGGAGGUUGAGGUGGGAGGAUCACAUAAGCCCAGGAGUUUGAGACUACAGUGAGCUAUGAUUGCACCACUGCACUCCAGCCCAGGUGACAGAGCAAGACCCUGUCUCAAAAAAUAAUAAUGAUUUUUCCCCAAAUACAGAUUUUUUAAGUUGCCCUUUUCUGACUAUAAUUCAGUAAAUUUAGGAAUCUAGGGCUAUAGUUCAUAUGCCCAACAAAUAGAAAAGCAAAGUAAAUAGAAUUUUACAAGUUUAACUACUGGGAAAGUAUGAAUAUGGAAUGUUCUUUAAUAUAAGCCUGAGAGCCAAGAAAAAAAUAAAAAUAGAAAUGAAAUCCUAUCUAGGAAUCAGUGGAAAGACGAUUACUUAUUGUCAAAACCUAUUAGAAAUAAUCUAUUAUUAUAGAAAAAUGUGUAGCCUAAAUGCCUUUGUUAUUUUAUCAUUGAAAAUAAAUAAUUUUUGUUAAGAAUCUAGGGAAAAAUACAAAGUAAAUCAUGAGGGAAUACAUGGGAAUUGAUAAUGCAAAAGAUGAAAUUUGUGAUAUAGAAAACAACACAGUAAAAGGAUAAAGGGGAGAAAAAGCUGGUUCUUUGAAAAGACCAAUGAACAAAAUUAACUUUGGCAAGCAUGCUGCAGGAAAAACCAGGGUUCAAUUCACUUGCUCCAGGGCACAUAGGAGAACAUCCGUUAUUGAUUGAUUGAUUGAUGACAGUUUUAUUCUGUCACCUAGGCUGGAGUGCAGUGGUGUGAUCUCAGCUCACUGCAACCUCCGCCUCCCAGGUUUAUUCUUGUGCCUCAGCCUCCCGAGUAGCUGGGAUUACAGGUGGGUGCCACCAAGACCGGCUAAUUUUUGUAUUAUUAGUAGAGACAGUGUUUUGCCAUGUUGGCCAGGCUGGUCUCGAACUCCUGACCUCAAGUGAUCUGUCUGCCUUGGCCUCCCAAAGUGCUGGGAUUACAGGUGUGAGCCACUGCCUUAAAUCUGUCAUUUAAACCCUGCCCAUCUGUACCCAGAGCCCUGUCUAAUACAUCAUAUGCAUACUAUGACAGAAAUAAAAAAUAUUAGAGCAUUAAUAAACUGACUUGAAGAUAGUCAGUAAAGGUUUCUCAACAUAUCCAAGAUGCACGGGCAAUAAAGAGCUGGAAAGACUUGUAUUCUUCCUCCUUUCCCUUUUGUGGUCACAAGUGGUUGAUUCCUGGUUCACACUGAGGAUUCAUGUGUGAGCUAUGGCUAGGUCAUUAUGACAUUUUUGCAUUUCAGAACAUUUCUGUAAGUUUUCCAUCAAUCCCAAGUAUAAAAGAUUCAGAGAAAGAUGAGGAGACUGAAACUAAGAGGAGCAAAAUGACCGGUCCAAGAGAAGAAACCAGAAUUGGACCCAAGGGGCUUUAUUGAACUUGGUUUAUGUAUCAGACAUAUAGAAAACCUUCUAUAGUCCACGGGGUAUUUUUUUGUCGUUAUUAUCCUCGUUCUUCCCAACAAUGAUGCUAAGGCACAGAGACGUUCAGCCACCUGCCCAGGGUCACACAGCCAGUGAUCUGCCUGACUCCGCAGCCCAUGCUUGCAAACACUCUACUGAAGCAUUUCCUAAUACCUGCUGGAGCAUUUGGGCCCUCCUGAUGGGCUCCCCUCCACCUCUCUGCCUCCCACGAUGUGCCCUCACAUUUCCUUGCUGGACCCAAGAGCUGUGAAACACAUUAGGAACUAAUAGUCUAGGAGGGGCAUGGGCUUGUGGAAAGAAAACACCACAGUCCCCUUCCUCAGCUGUACUGUUCUUUCCUUCAGCUGAUAUUUCUCAGGUUAUAUAAAUGGAAUGUUAUACAAAUGUUUCCGCCAUGAGUUUCCUUUCAAAAGAUGAAUAAAAGAAUGAGGCAUUUUGUUUUCCUUUGUUCCCUGGUAGCACCUAUGUUAAGAAUUUGUGCUUAAAACAUGACUCACUAAUUCUUGGAGCAGAGCACAAGGAAGUAUACAGACCUAAUAGCUCUGUGAGAUGUAGGCUUGAGCUUGUGUGGGAAAGAAUCCAUUGGAACCACGUAGAUGAAGUUUCAUUCAAAAACAAUCCUCCCCGCCCUUACCCCUUCCCCAACAGCUCCCAACAUGACUGCGUUGUUUAAGUAGCCGAUUGCUCUCUUGUAUGACUGUCAAAUAUUUCAGGUUGCAAGAAAGCUCAAGUAGCCUAUGGAGAGGAUGCAAGGCUUCCAGCUGAUGCCCUCAGCCAGGCUCAGUAGCAGCCAGAACUAGCCUACCAACGAACCUGCUGAUCAUGUGCAUAAGCCACCUUGAACGUCGAUCCUCCUGCCUGGUGGAGCCAUCCCAGCUGAUGCCACAUGAAGCAGACACAAGCUGUCCCUACUAAGCUCUGCUCAAGUUGGAUAUUCAUGAGUGAAAUAAAUGACUGUUACUAAGUAAUUAAUUUUUGGGUGGCUGUUAUGUAGCAGUAGAUAAUUGGAACAAAGCUUAUUGACAUAAUACAUCUAUAUCACAUCCUCCAAUCCAUUUUUUUAAGUAAUAAAGUUGAUGUUUGUUUUGAUUUUCAGUUACAGCUUUACAUAUUUUGUCUUAAUUAGUCAAUUUUUUCCAAACUCAAAAUGGGUUUUUGUAAGAGUAGUAGUAGGGUCCUAGAAUAAUGGCAAUUCUCUUUCACUGGAGAAAGUUUUGUAGAGAAGACAAAAGAAUUUUUACAAGUACUCCACUGGUGAAAACUCAUAAACCUUGAAGGUAUUUUUAAAUUCAUCAUGCAUUUAUCAAUUUAUAAAUGAAUUCAUCAUUCAUUGGUCCAUUCAUCCAUCCCUCCAUCCAUUUCUAGAUCCUCUCAUAAGAGGAAAUCUAGGAAUAAGCCUGAUCAGUGAAAGUUUCAUGGGAAAGAGGAAGGAGGAAGAAAUUAUUUUAUUUUUAGAGUUUUGGGAGUUAGUGGUUAUGGACUUGCACUGGAGAAGAUGGGUGAGAAAGUUCAAGGUUUCUAAAAUGGGAAAGUAGGCCUGGAGAAAAUGUUGCAACCAAGAUUAUAAGGCCAAUUACCAGGUCUGAUUACCAGAAAAUAAUUUUUAAGGCAGGAAUAUUAGGCCAUAUCAGUACCUGAAAGAGUGAUCGAGGCUAAUUUGUUCAUUCAUGUAACAACAAUUUAUUAUGUGCUACUAAGUACCAUCACUAUAUUAUAAACUGAGGGUUCAGUAGUGGAUAAGAGAAACUAAUUCCCUGGCCUAAUGAAGAUUUCAUUCAACGGGGAAAACAAGAAACAUAUAUGUAAAUUAGCAAAAGUUAAUAAUAUCAUUCAAAGAGUGCUAAGAGCUCUGAAAAUAGUAAAGCAGGGUGACUGAUAAAACAGGACUAAGCAGGUAACAGUAAGAGGUGAUCAGGGAAAAAACCUCUGAAGAAAACAUAUUUGAUCUGGAAUCCAAAUGGCAAGUAGAAUGAAGAAGGUAAAUAAUUCAUACAAGAGCAUAUCUCUUCCAUAGCAAGUGCAAAGACCCUGGGCAAAUGCCAUAGUUGAGCUAGCACCCACCACUGGCUUCAAGUGAUGGGUGAGUGAUACAGACUCAAGGAAAGGGCCAAAAGGGCAGACAAAACCAGUUCAAUUUGUCACUUAUUCAUCCACCCAUUGAUCCAUCUACUGAUCCAUUUAUCCAUCCAUCCAUCCAUCCAUCCAUCCAUCCAUCCAUCCAUCUAUUCAACAUACAUGUUGGGUGCCCUUUACAUACCAGGACCUGUACUGGGCAUGGGAACUGCAGAGAUGAAAAGAUGAACAAUCUCUGUACUUGAGGGACUCAUCUCACUCUGUGAGAUGAACUGGCAUGUGACUGAAAACUCACUAUAUUGGUAACGAGACUAAAACACAGAGCUUAAUGAUUUAACCUGAUACCACCCAAGUGGUUAGCGGUUAGUGGCAGGGCUUCAGAAUUUUAUUUUCCUUCCCUACAGGGAAAACCAUUAUGUGUGACCUACUUUUUCAAACUCUCUUCCUCAGUGGGGCAACAAUUAGAGUUUAUCUAUUGCUAGUGCUUACCAUUUUAGGCUCCUUUAAUUAGAGUGUUUUAAAUUAGUGUUAUUUUAAUUUUGCUUAUCUCCUGAGACAUUAUAGAGGAUAAAUAGCAAAUGAAAUAAUGUACAUGAAAACACAUUGUAACCCAUAAACCAUCAUACAGAUGUGUGUUAUAUACAGUUUUAUAUUUGAGGAUAUAGCUUUAUGCAUUAGUACUGCUUCCUCCUCAGGGAUGUCUCCAAAAGAAUUCAGAGUAAAACAGACUUGUGGAUUGAUGCUUUAAAGACAUUUUGUAUUUUCUUUAAAAAUAAAAUUGACUCACAGUAGGUGCUUAAUAAAUAUUUGUUCAAAGAAUGCAUAAGAUGCAAUAUUCAGAGACAUAGAUUCAGUGUAGUAGGCAUCAGUGUGGCUACUUGGCUACUUACUGUGCAAAAGAUGUCAAUUUGUGAGUGCAAAUUCAUCUUAAGGAAAUUCUCUGAUUUAAUUUAAGCAUUGGUAGAGAGAUUUACUAUUAUCCUCCUUGGAAAUGAAAAGCAUAUAGCUCAGGGAAGGAAGAUCACAUUUUUAGGAGAACUAUCUGGGGGCAGAUUACCCAAAGUGUUAAUUAUUAUAAUUACUAUUGUUAAGUUGGUUUUAAAGUCCUAUAUGAUGUAAUAUCAUGUUCUCUUUUUGUUUCUCCAG
rnacentral:lncRNA from 10 species